GACGAACGCUGGCGGCGUGCUUAACACAUGCAAGUCGAACGGAAUCCAUGGUGUAGCAAUACACCGGAAGAUUUAGUGGCGAACGGGUGAGGAUCACGUGAGAAACCUGCCCCAGACUUUGGGAUAACAAUUGGAAACGAUUGCUAAUACCGAAUGACGUCGGAGAACCGCAUGGUUCACUGACGAAAGGAAAUCCGGUUUGGGAGGGUCUCGCGGCCUAUCAGCUUGUUGGUGGGGUAAUGGCCUACCAAGGCAACGACGGGUAGCUGGUCUGAGAGGAUGAUCAGCCACACUGGGACUGAGACACGGCCCAGACUCCUACGGGAGGCAGCAGUGGGGAAUCUUGCGCAAUGGGCGAAAGCCUGACGCAGCAACGCCGCGUGCGGGAUGAAGGCCUUCGGGCUGUAAACCGCUUUCAGCAGGAACGAAAAUGACGGUACCUGCAGAAGAAGGAGCGGCCAACUACGUG
rnacentral:rRNA from 1 species